UGAAAGGAAGAUUAAUACAAGAUGGCAUCAUGAGUCCGCAUGUUCACAUGAUUAAAGGUAUUCCGGUAGACGAUGGGGAUGCGUUCCAUUAGAUAGUAGGCGGGGUAACGGCCCACCUAGUCUUCGAUGGAUAGGGGUUCUGAGAGGAAGGUCCCCCACAUUGGAACUGAGACACGGUCCGAACUCCUACGGGAGGCAGCAGUGAGGAAUAUUGGUCAAUGGGCGCAGGCCUGAACCAGCCAAGUAGCGUGAAGGAUGACUGCCCUAUGGGUUGUAAACUUCUUUUAUAAAGGAAUAAAGUCGGGUAUGUAUACCCGUUUGCAUGUACUUUAUGAAUAAGGAUCGGCUAACUCCGUGCCAGCAGCCGCGGUAAUACGGAGGAUCCGAGCGUUAUCCGGAUUUAUUGGGUUUAAAGGGUGCGUAGGUGGUAAUUUAAGUCAGCGGUGAAAGUUUGUGGCUCAACCAUAAAAUUGCCGUUGAAACUGGGUUACUUGAGUGUGUUUGAGGUAGGCGGAAUGCGUGGUGUAGCGGUGAAUGCAUAGAUAUCACG
rnacentral:rRNA from 1 species